CCCCUAGAUGUUCUGGGCCGCACGCGCGCUACACUGAACAGUUCAACAAGUCUUAACCUUGGCCGAUAGGUCUGGGUAAUCUUUGAACGCUGUUCGUGAUUGGGAUAGACCUUUGCAAUUAUGGGUCUUCAACGAGGAAUUCCUAGUAAACACAAGUCAUCAGCUUGCAUUGAUUACGUCCCUGCCCUUUGUACACACCGCCCGUCGCACCUACCGAUUGAAUGGUCCGGUGAAAUCUCGGGACGGCGGCUUGGUCGCUUGCGUCCGACUGCUGAAACUUGAUUAAACCAUAUCAUUUAGAGGAAGGUGAAGUCGUAACA
rnacentral:rRNA from 1 species